rnacentral:lncRNA from 1 species
UUUGUACUUAGAUAAGAAAAACAUUAUUUUCUCAACAGGGUUCAACUCUUCGUCGAUUCCCAGCACUGCAAUGAAUUCUACAUCUGGGUUCACCCCUUCGUCGAUCCCUAGCACUGCAAUGAAAUCUACAUCUGGUAUAUUGGUCCCUUUAUUCUAGUUAGCUGAUUGAACUGAAACAGAGUGGCUAUGUGAUCCUUAUUUUCACGUUAUAUGCUUUGAUGUGUCGCUAGAAGGCCUAAUAUGUAAAGCAGAUUUUGCGUAUUAAGAAUCCCCUAAAAUGUUGCUAAUGGUUUUUGGACAUCUGUAAUUCAACAGCUAAGAUAUUACAGUGAAUAUUACUCUUAUAUGUCCUCCCGCUGACCCCAGAGUCUUUGUAAAUAUUUAAAAUAUUAUGUAUACAUUUUAACUUUGGACUGAAAUGCAGGUUUAUUCUCUGCACUGAUAAAAUCAGGAAGUCACAUAAAGUAGGUCCACUUGUGUUAGUGCACACGCACUCACCUGACAACUUCGGUUAGGUCUGCAAGCACCUGAGACCCCUAUGGGAGUAACUACCACUGGGCCUAAGUUGCUAUCUAAUUUUUGAUUAGU